rnacentral:rRNA from 2 species
AUGGUUAAGUUAGAAAGGGCGCACGGUGAAUGCCUUGGCACUAGGAGCCGAUGAAGGACGGGACUAACACCGAUAUGCUUCGGGGAGCUGUAAGUGAGCUUUGAUCCGGAGAUUUCCGAAUGGGGAAACCCACUGUUCGUAAUGGAACAGUAUCUUUAUCUGAAUACAUAGGAUAUUGAAGGCAGACCCGGGGAACUGAAACAUCUAAGUACCCGGAGGAAGAGAAAGCAAAUGCGAUUUCCUGAGUAGCGGCGAGCGAAACGGAAUUAGCCCAAACCAAGAGGCUUGCCUCUUGGGGUUGUAGGACACUCUAUACGGAGUUACAAAGGAACGAAGUAAAUGAAGCGACCUGGAAAGGUCCGUCGAAGAAGGUAACAACCCUGUAGUUGAAACUUCGUUCCCUCUUGAGUGGAUCCUGAGUACGGCGGAACACGUGAAAUUCCGUCGGAAGCUGGGAGGACCAUCUCCCAAGGCUAAAUACUACCUAGUGACCGAUAGUGAACCAGUACCGUGAGGGAAAGGUGAAAAGCACCCCGGAAGGGGAGUGAAAGAGAUCCUGAAACCGUGUGCCUACAAGUAGUCAGAGCCCGUUAAUGGGUGAUGGCGUGCCUUUUGUAGAAUGAACCGGCGAGUUACGAUCCCAUGCAAGGUUAAGCUGAUAAGGCGGAGCCGUAGCGAAAGCGAGUCUGAAUAGGGCGUUUAGUAUGUGGUUGUAGACCCGAAACCAGGUGAUCUACCCAUGUCCAGGGUGAAGUUCAGGUAACACUGAAUGGAGGCCCGAACCCACGCACGUUGAAAAGUGCGGGGAUGAGGUGUGGGUAGCGGAGAAAUUCCAAUCGAACCUGGAGAUAGCUGGUUCUCUCCGAAAUAGCUUUAGGGCUAGCCUCAUGUUGUGAGAGUCUUGGAGGUAGAGCACUGAUUGGACUAGGGGCCCCCAACGGGUUACCGAAUUCAGUCAAACUCCGAAUGCCAAAGACUUAUCCAUGGGAGUCAGACUGCGAGUGAUAAGAUCCGUAGUCAAAAGGGAAACAGCCCAGACCACCAGCUAAGGUCCCCAAGUAUACGUUAAGUGGAAAAGGAUGUGGAGUUGCUUAGACAACCAGGAUGUUGGCUUAGAAGCAGCCACCAUUUAAAGAGUGCGUAAUAGCUCACUGGUCGAGUGACUCUGCGCCGAAAAUGUACCGGGGCUAAACGUAUCACCGAAGCUGUGGAUUGACAUCUUUGAUGUCAGUGGUAGGAGAGCGUUCUAAGUGCUGCGAAGUCAGACCGUAAGGACUGGUGGAGCGCUUAGAAGUGAGAAUGCCGGUAUGAGUAGCGAAAGACAAGUGAGAAUCUUGUCCACCGAAUGCCUAAGGUUUCCUGAGGAAGGCUCGUCCGCUCAGGGUUAGUCGGGACCUAAGCCGAGGCUGAAAAGCGUAGGCGAUGGCCAACAGGUUGAUAUUCCUGUACCACCUCCCCGCCGUUUGAGUAAUGGGGGGACGCAGUAGGAUAGGGUAAGCGCGCUGCUGGAUAUGCGCGUUCAAGCAGUUAGGCUGAUGAGUAGGCAAAUCCGCUCAUCAUAAAGGCUGAGCUGUGAUGACGAGGGAAUUAUAGUACCGAAGUUCCUGAUUCCACACUGCCAAGAAAAGCCUCUAGCGAGGCGGGAGGUGCCCGUACCGCAAACCGACACAGGUAGGCGAGGAGAGAAUCCUAAGGUGAUCGAGAGAACUCUCGUUAAGGAACUCGGCAAAAUGACCCCGUAACUUCGGGAGAAGGGGUGCUCUGGUAGGGUGUAUAGCCCGAGAGAGCCGCAGUGAAUAGGCCCAGGCGACUGUUUAGCAAAAACACAGGUCUCUGCGAAGCCGCAAGGCGAAGUAUAGGGGCUGACGCCUGCCCGGUGCUGGAAGGUUAAGAGGAGGGGUUAUCCUUUGGGAGAAGCUCUGAAUCGAAGCCCCAGUAAACGGCGGCCGUAACUAUAACGGUCCUAAGGUAGCGAAAUUCCUUGUCGGGUAAGUUCCGACCCGCACGAAAGGCGUAACGAUCUGGGCACUGUCUCAACGAGAGACUCGGUGAAAUUAUAGUACCUGUGAAGAUGCAGGUUACCCGCGACAGGACGGAAAGACCCCGUGGAGCUUUACUGUAGCCUGAUAUUGAAUUUUGGUACAGCUUGUACAGGAUAGGUAGGAGCCUGAGAAGCCGGAGCGCUAGCUUCGGUGGAGGCGUCGGUGGGAUACUACCCUGGCUGUAUUGAAAUUCUAACCCGCGGCCCUGAUCGGGCCGGGAGACAGUGUCAGGUGGGCAGUUUGACUGGGGCGGUCGCCUCCUAAAAUGUAACGGAGGCGCCCAAAGGUUCCCUCAGAAUGGUUGGAAAUCAUUCGUAGAGUGUAAAGGCACAAGGGAGCUUGACUGCGAGACCUACAAGUCGAGCAGGGACGAAAGUCGGGCUUAGUGAUCCGGUGGUUCCGCAUGGAAGGGCCAUCGCUCAACGGAUAAAAGCUACCCCGGGGAUAACAGGCUUAUCUCCCCCAAGAGUCCACAUCGACGGGGAGGUUUGGCACCUCGAUGUCGGCUCAUCGCAUCCUGGGGCUGUAGUCGGUCCCAAGGGUUGGGCUGUUCGCCCAUUAAAGCGGUACGCGAGCUGGGUUCAGAACGUCGUGAGACAGUUCGGUCCCUAUCCGUCGUGGGCGUAGGAAAUUUGAGAGGAGCUGUCCUUAGUACGAGAGGACCGGGAUGGACACACCGCUGGUGUACCAGUUGUCUUGCCAAAGGCAUCGCUGGGUAGCUAUGUGUGGACGGGAUAAGUGCUGAAAGCAUCUAAGCAUGAAGCCCCCCUCAAGAUGAGAUUUCCCAUAGCGCAAGCUAGUAAGAUCCCUGAAAGAUGAUCAGGUUGAUAGGUCAGAGGUGGAAGCGUGGCGACAUGUGUAGCUGACUGAUACUAAUCGAUCGAGGACUUAACCAAA